GACGAACCGUGCGAACGUUAUUCGGAAUCACUGGGCUUAAAGCGCGUGUAGGCGGACGGGGACGUCGGUCGCUGAAAUCCCCCGGCUCAACCGGGGAACGGGCGCCGAAACGCCCCGUCUCGAGGGACGUAGGGGGACCUGGAACUUCCGGUGGAGCGGUGAAAUGCGUUGAGAUCGGAAGGAACGCCCGUGGCGAAAGCGAGGUCCUGGACGUCUUCUGACGCUGAGACGCGAAAGCUAGGGGAGCGAACGGGG
rnacentral:rRNA from 1 species